UGGCAAUGAACUAAAUAAACAAUAUAGCUUUUAUUUUCAGCACAAACAUAAUCCUCGUUGUAAAUUAUCUAAUGUCACUAAUCUGUCCUGCUGAACCCCACCAUCCACGAGUUACACACAUUCUUUAUACACAAAAAAAUCAUUUUGUGCCUGCCAAAACGUUUUCAGGUAUGAGUGCGUGUGCGGAGAGAUGCGUAAAUAAUACUCGAUUACCAUGCCACCUACAUCUUUUUGUUAAAAAUGCCUUUAUGAAGGCUAUAAUCCUUAUCAAAUUAAACCCUGCGGAUCCCCCUUUUAAUACACAGGGAGUCCUCCUCAUUUAUGGGCGUCGGCGCUAAGCAGCUCUGGAAACGGGCAGACCCAGCUGUGCAGCGAUGUCCAGUGUCGCCGCAUCUGCCCCGCGGGGUGCAGCAUGAGUCUUCCUUUGUGGCGUGCGGCUCCAUCGGAACGCGCGUUGCGACGACAAAUUCCUUUUUUCCCCCCCGCAGUUAACAGUUCUGGGGCAGAGGCUGGUGGAGAGGUCCAGAGCCCACUCAGACCGAGAUGAAGAUGAGGAAAAGCAUGAGCAGGAAGAGGCUGGCGGCUGCGGCGGCCACAGGGAAGAGCUCGGUGCGCGGCGCAGCCUCCCGCGACCGCGAC
rnacentral:lncRNA from 1 species